rnacentral:rRNA from 1 species
UACGGAGGGUGCAAGCGUUAUCCGGAUUCACUGGGCUUAAAGGGCGCGUAGGCGGGCAGGCAAGUCCGUGGUGAAAUCUCUGAGCUUAACUCGGAAACUGCCGUGGAUACUAUUAGUCUUGAAUCUCGUAGAGGUAAGCGGAAUAUGUCAUGUAGCGGUGAAAUGCUUAGAUAUGACAUAGAACACCGAUAGCGAAGGCAGCUUGCUGCACGAGUAUUGACACUGAGGCACGAAAGCGUGGGGAUCAAACAGG